CGCGGUAAUUCCAGCUCCAAUAGCGUAUACUAAAGUGUUGCAGUUAAAAAGCUCGUAGUUGGAUUUCUGGCGGGGAUGGCUGGUCGGUCUCGAAAGGGGCUGUACUGUUGUUGGUUCCCGUCAUCCUUGGGGAGAGCGGCUCUUACAUUAAGUUGUCGGCGUCGGGAUCCCUAUCUUUUACUGUGAAAAAAUUAGAGUGUUCAAAGCAGGCUUAGGCCCUGAAUACAUUAGCAUGGAAUAAUAAGAUACGACCUUGGUGGUCUAUUUUGUUGGUUUGCACGCCAAGGUAAUGAUUAAUAGGGAUAGUUGGGGGUAUUCGUAUUCAAUUGUCAGAGGUGAAAUUCUUGGAUUUAUGGAAGACGAACUACUGCGAAAGCAUUUACCAAGGAUGUUUUCAUUAAUCAAGAACGAAAGUUAGGGGAUCGGAGAUGAUUAGAUACCAUCGUAGUCUUAACCAUAAACUAUGCCGACUAGGGAUCGGUGGGUGCAUUUUUAGGCCUCAUCGGCACCUUAUGAGAAAUCAAAGUCUUUGGGUUCCGGGGGGAGUAUGGUCGCAAGGCUGAAACUUAAAGAAAUUGACGG
rnacentral:rRNA from 1 species